AUGAUAAAUAUGACUAUCUAAUGACUAUUUUAUAGUUUAGUAAUCGCCCACACACAACCUCUAAAUCCUUUCAAAAUAAAAGCACCAAUGUAAUUAAAUUAAAUGGCAAAUUUUUGUUUCUGACUGGUAAAUUUCUACUAGUUAUUAAACUAUUACACGGUUAGGUAAUUAUUUACAAAUACUUUCUUCAAAUCAAAAAGAUAGUUAGCUUAUUUAUGAUUGUCAACAAUGCACCUUGGUCAACUUUUUAAUCUUUGACAUCUUUUAACCUUGGUCAACUUUUGAAUCAUUGUCAUCUCUUUAAUAUUGUCAUAGUAUGACCUUGGUCAUCUUUUUAAUCAUCAUCUUUUUAAUCGCCAUCUUUUGUCAUCGUUUUAAUCUUUGUCAACGUUUUGUCGUUUUCAUCAUUUUGCCGUAGUCAACUUUUGGACGUAGUCAACUUUUUGACGUCAGCAGCUUAAUCAGCGUUUGUCAUCCUUGCGGCAGCAGAUCAGCUCUCCCACGUAAUUUCUCGAGAAAUUACUUUUUCUAGUUAUCACAGUGAAUGCUGCAAAGCAUUCACUGUAUUGUUUUUCUAAGCUUUAUCACAGUGAAUGCUGCAAAGCAUUCACUGUAUUGUUUUUCUAAGCUUUAUCACAGUGAAUGCUGCAAAGCAUUCACUGUAUUGUUUUUCUAAGCUUUAUUAUCACAGUGAAUGCUGCAAAGCAUUCACUGUAUUGUUUUUCUAAGCUUUAUUAUUAUUAUUAUUAGUGGGAGAGCUGAACAGCUCUCACACUAUUGUUAUCUUUGGUCUUUAUUAUUAUUUUUCUUCUACUUAUUCCGCCCUUUUUUUGAUUGCUAUCUACUUUUUAACGCUUCAUCGUAGAAUCGUCGUUCAACUUUCUAAACGUGAGUCAUCUUUAGGAGAUGUGGGCUAUUACUUUUUAUGUUCUCAGCUUUUCAACUUUUAACGUUAUUCAACUUUUUUCAUCGUUUUUUUAUAAUGGUCGUCUAUGUGAAUCAUCGUUAAAUUUUUUAUUCAACUUCCCUCUUUUCAUCAGCGUCUAUCAUCGUCAUACUUUGGCGUAGAAACGUCAUUUCAACUUCAAAAGCGUCCAUCAUCGCUCAACUUUCUCCUCGUAAAUCAGCGUUGUCGUAUCUUCUAUACUUGUUGACUCGUGAGCGUUUAAAUAUGGUGUGGUUUUUGUUAAAUUUUCAGCUUUUCCAUUAGUGUGUAUUGGGUCAGUUAGAGUGCGUGAUGUCACAGCUACAGUGAGAAGGUGCGCUUUUUUAAGACAGAACUUCUGUCUUUAACUUGUCACUACAGCCACAAUUUUUACUCUAUCAACGUAAUUACUUCAAUAAAUCGUAGUCAUACUUGUCUUCUUUCUAAUGA
rnacentral:lncRNA from 1 species